UAAGUCUGUCUAGGUCAAGUGUAGGAGACUCAGUACCGGCCUGUGGAAACUCAUGGAACUGUUUCUUCAGAUUAACACUUCAGGGGCUAUGGAGGCUACAGGAAGCUGAGCUCUAACUACAUACAUCUUUUGGGGGAAUCUCACAUGAAGAGUAAAGAGUAAUUAAAAUGUGCAGGAUGACAAGAUGGAGCAAACAGUGCUUGUACCACCAGGACCUGACAGCUUCAACUUCUUCACCAGAGAAUCUCUUGCAGCUAUUGAAAGGCGCAUUGCAGAAGAAAAAGCUAAGAAUCCCAAGCCAGACAAAAAAGAUGAUGAUGAAAAUGGCCCAAAGCCGAACA
rnacentral:lncRNA from 1 species